UACGGGGGGGGGCAAGCGUUGUUCGGAAUUACUGGGCGUAAAGGGCGCGUAGGCGGUCUGCUAAGUUGGAUGUGAAAACUCUGGGCUUAACCCAGAGCCUGCAUUCAAUACUGACAGGCUAGAGUUCUGGAGGGGAUAGCGGAAUUCCUGGUGUAGCGGUGAAAUGCGUAGAUAUCAGGAGGAACACCCGUGGCUAAGGCGGCUCUCUAGUACGGUACUGACGCUGAGACGCGAAAGCGUGGGG
rnacentral:rRNA from 1 species